AGCAUUGUAACCUAUUUUUUUACAUUUUCUCCUUCUAAAACUCCAACUCUCCCUAGAUUUUAAUUUAUUUUAUUUACAUUGUUUUUGUCCUAAGGAAACCUUUACAAAAAUGAAUAGCAAAUAAAAAAGAAUUGGAUCAUUUUGGAUUGCUAAGUCAGUGUUUUAAAAAGCACGCUUAGGCGCGCGCCUAAGCUCAAGGCGAGGCGAGGCGCAACUUUGCGCCUUAGUCAUGGUGAGGCGAGACGACACAGGUGAAGCGCUGCCUAGGCAAUGAGGCAAGCGCCUUAUUACGAAGCGCAAGGCGAGCGCCUUGUGCGCCUCGGCUUUCUUCCACUCCCAGGUUCUGCUCUCUUCUUCUCUUCUUCUCUUCUCUUCUCUUCUCUCUGCUUCUUCUCCUCUGCUUCGUUUCUGCUUCAUCUUCUCUUCCCUUCUUUCUGUCUUCUUCUCGCUCCUGCUUCACGAUCGCUCUCUCUCUUCUGCUUCGUUUCUGUUUCACGAUCGCGAGCUCUCUCUCUCUUGCCUUCUCUCUCGCGAUUGCGGUCGCGAUCUCUCUCUUCUGCUUCGUUUCUCGUUCAUGAUCACUCUCUCUCUCUCGCGAUCUAUCUCUCCCUUUUAUCUUCUGUAUUCAUAUAUAUAUAUAUAUAUAAUAUUAUAUAAUACCGAUUAUAUAAUAUAUAAUAUAUAAUCUACAAUAUACUUAUAAUAUAUAAAAUAUAAUUGAUUUAUCUAUAUAAUAAGAGAGAAGGCUUUUUGAAAAUGUAUAAAAUGUGUGUGAGAUAUAUUUUGAUUCAAUGGCCAAUAUCAAUCCUGAUAUAUAUCAAUGGCUCAGAUCUAUAUAGUUCCCGCCCAAACAUUUCUCUCCCUCAGCCUUUCACCUACCCACGUCUCCUCCCCAUUCCCUCUUCAUCUCUCUCCCUCUCUGUUCUCACCUACUCUUUGCCCCAUUCCCUCUUUAUCUCUCUCUCCCUGUCUGUUCUUCUUCUUUCCUACCUUCCUUCUUCCGCUGCUCUCCAGUCUUCUGCCUCUCGAACUCGACUCUGCUCUCCAGUCUUGCAAGGUAAGAUUUCUGCUUCCCCCUUCUCUCUCUGUCUGUGUCUGCCUCUCCAGUCCUCGAACUCACAUUUUGGGCUAUUUGAUUGUAAGAUUGAUUGUUGUUUUAAUAUUGAUUUUGAUUUUGUAAUUAAAUAGCCCAAAAUGCUGUGAUUUAGAAUUUUUUACACAGCAUUUGAUUUUGACUUAUUAGCAUAGUUGAAGAGUGGACGGUGGUUGAUUUUAAUUUUAUAAUUAGGUUACCAAUUAUUUUGCGGAGUUUUUUGGUGGAUCUGAUGUGGAGGGAAGAGUGGACGUUUUGGGGAAAAUGGGUUGAAGAAUUCGAAUGGAAAUCAGACGAUUCGGAAAGCAGCUCCACUGGAAAACAAGUUGGUGUGUAGUUUGGAGGAGCUUUACAAGGGUUCUCAAAAGAAUGUUAAGAUUUUGAGAAUUGUUCCUGAUGAUUCUGGGUAUGCAAUUCUACACCUUUACAUAUAAUUAAGAUUCUGGGUAUGCAAGUUGGUGUUUAAAUUUCUUGAUUUGAGAAAGAAUUUAGAUGUUAUGAUUGAUUGUUUGGAGUUACGAAUUCUCUGUUGCCCUGAAUUUCCAAGAAUUUGCACGAAACGCAUUGCCUCUUGCUUUAUUUUAGGCUCUCUUUUCAUUUUUCUGGAUUACCGUAGAUGAAAUCCAUAAAAAAAUUGAUUUUUUUUUUAAUUGUUUUUGUUUCCUUUGGAAUUCAAAAUUUUGAAUUCAAAAAAUUUGUCUAGGAUUGUAUUUCAAGGAUUGAUUUUUUUUUUUUUUCCCUUCUUCCUUUUUUGGGUUUCUUUUUCUUUCAAGAACCAAUUUUCGCAAAUGCAUAGCAUUCCUUUUUUUUCCAGAUCACAAAACAGUUCACAAAAAAACAGGACUGAAAAUUUCUUUGACUCUGUUCUAGAAUCUGUUUUAGGAAAAUUGAGUUUUAAAGAAUCUGUUAUCAGUUUUUUUGUUUUCCAUUAAAGGGUUGAUUUAUAUAGUUUGAGACUUGAUUAAAGCCCACAAAAGGCUAGCCUAUUCGGCAUGAUCUUGAAAGUAGGGCAAAAGGCUUAAAAUUUUGGUAUUGUUCAAUCUUUGGUGGUCAAGAAUUACUCGGGAAAGACUAUGGUGCAUGCCCUUCAAAAAGUGUGGACCGUUUGCAUCUUAUAAUUAAAGAAAAAAUUGGUGGUCAAAAAUUUUGGUAUUGUUCAAUCUUUGGUGGUCAAGAAUAACUCACUCCGUGCUAUCCCGGAGACGAAGAAUGUGGAUUUGAUCUCGAAGAAUGCCCAAUUUGCUUUUUGUAUUAUCCAAGUCUCAAUCGCUCAAGAUGUUGCACGAAAGGCAUUUGUACAGAGUGUUUUCUGCAGAUGAAGACCCCGAAUUCGACUUGGCCUACUUAGUAUCCUUGAGUCUAUGAUGUAUGAACUAUGUUUCUACAAUUUUGGGUGAUAAUUUCAGCUACUAUGUUUUAGAGAAUCUCUGAUUCUUUCUUCCAAAUUCAUGUUCUAUACUUGCAUUCUUUAACCAUAUGAGGUGUCCAUUCUGUAAAACCUUGAACUAUGCGGUGGAGUAUUGUGGGGUGAAAACAAAGGAGGAAAAGGGGAUCGAGCAAAUUGUAAGAUUUUCUUUACCAUAGUAUCCUUUAUUUAAUUCUAUUAUUAAAGGGAAUUUUUGAAUAUGUUCAGAAUAGCAAAUUUCCAUUAUGUGUGCUCUAAUAGGAAGAACAAAGCGUUAUAGAAGCAAACAUUAGGAUGCGGCAACAGGAACUUUAGGAUGAAGAACUAAGAAUGCUGACAAGGCAAGAAAUAAGUUCUUCAAGCAGAUCAAUGUUACCAGGAGAGGUUGGAUAUAGCACAGGGGAAGGUAUUUUCAUUGUCUAGGUUCAGUGCUAUCUAUAUUCUUUGCUUUGGUUAUUGUAUACCUUAUUUUUUUCCUUCUAAUAUUUUAUGUUGUGCAUUACUUUUAUUUUUCCUACAGUGGACGAGGAAAUUGUUUCUUCUCAAAUACCACUAAGACAAUCUCUACGGCCUCGGCAGAACAGAUAUUUAUAUAUUUAAUGUAGUUUUUUUUUA